GCUCAGAUUGAACGCUGGCGGCAUGCUUUACACAUGCAAGUCGAACGGUAACAGGUCUUCGGAUGCUGACGAGUGGCGAACGGGUGAGUAAUACAUCGGAACGUGCCUAGUAGUGGGGGAUAACUACUCGAAAGAGUAGCUAAUACCGCAUGAGAUCUACGGAUGAAAGCAGGGGACCUUCGGGCCUUGUGCUACUAGAGCGGCUGAUGGCAGAUUAGGUAGUUGGUGGGGUAAAGGCUUACCAAGCCUGCGAUCUGUAGCUGGUCUGAGAGGACGACCAGCCACACUGGGACUGAGACACGGCCCAGACUCCUACGGGAGGCAGCAGUGGGGAAUUUUGGACAAUGGGCGAAAGCCUGAUCCAGCAAUGCCGCGUGCAGGAUGAAGGCCCUCGGGUUGUAAACUGCUUUUGUACGGAACGAAAAGCCUGGGGCUAAUAUCCCCGGGUCAUGACGGUACCGUAAGAAUAAGCACCGGCUAACUACGUGCCAGCAGCCGCGGUAAUACGUAGGGUGCAAGCGUUAAUCGGAAUUACUGGGCGUAAAGCGUGCGCAGGCGGUUUUGUAAGACAGUGGUGAAAUCCCCGGGCUCAACCUGGGAACUGCCAUUGUGACUGCAAGGCUAGAGUGCGGCAGAGGGGGAUGGAAUUCCGCGUGUAGCAGUGAAAUGCGUAGAUAUGCGGAGGAACACCGAUGGCGAAGGCAAUCCCCUGGGCCUGCACUGAC
rnacentral:rRNA from 1 species